GGCCUUCGUAUACGAUACGGAAAGGUACUCUCCUCCCUUGCGAGAUCGGCCCUUGAUGCGGAAGAAGCCGGAAAUGCUGCAUCACGCUGGAACUGCUAUGGGUUCACGCAAGGAACUGCUGCCUUAGUUUUAAUGCGUUAGUCUAUCAUCGCCGCUGAAACUGCCUGGGCUAACUUGUGCCUUUUGUUUUGUGCUGAUCAUGAAACUAUAAAUAGAUGUAUUCAUUAAACCGGUAGAGAAUAAGAUCGGAAUUCUGUUUCAGCUUAAUUCUGUAACCCGAGUGAUUCAGCUUUGGCAUUGUUUAUGACUCACGUAGAAAUUUUUUAAUCGAAUAUUUUAGCUUUUAUGAUUGUAACAUUUACAUGUGG